rnacentral:misc_RNA from 1 species
AAGUCGUAACAAGGUUUCCGUAGGUGAACCUGCGGAAGGAUCAUUAAAAAAUCGUCUUUGAGCUGCAAAGCUCUUUUAUUUUGUGCAACGUAAGUGAUGCUGGCGUCUGCAGGCAAGUUGUGCGUGGUUCUGUGGCCUGUGCGAGCGGGCUGCAGUCCACCUGCGGCUGGUUUGCUGCCGGUGUCCUGCAAACAUGUUGGAUCUGAAUUGAGGAAGGUGCCAUAAUAUUAUACAACUUUCAACAGUGGAUCUCUUGGCUCUU